rnacentral:rRNA from 1 species
UACGUAGGGUGCGAGCGUUGUCCGGAAUUAUUGGGCGUAAAGAGCUCGUAGGUGGUUUGUCGCGUUGUUCGUGAAAUCUCACGGCUUAACUGUGAGCGUGCGGGCGAUACGGGGCAGACUGGAGUACUGCAGGGGGAGACUGGAAUUCCUGGUGUAGCGGUGGAAUGCGCAGAUAUCAGGAGGAACACCGGUGGCGAAGGCGGGGUCUCUGGGGCAGUAACUGACGCUGAGGAGCGAAAAGCGUGGGGGAGCGAACAGG